CGCACACACACACACUGUGUCUGUGACAGCAGAGGUGACUUUUGAGGAAAUGCUGCGGAAGUAGAGGAACUAGGAAGAUGAAUAAAACACAGUUAAGGGGAUGAAGACUACUUAUCAUCAUGAUGGGUGACAGAUGAUUGAGAGCUGUCAGUCAUCAGGAGGAAAAAAGUUCAACAGAGCAGCUGACAUGUUCACGUCCAACGUCAUCAGCUCGACUUUCAGCGCCGGCCGACAUUGUGGCGGAAUCUGGGGCGGCUGAGCUUCACUCUCUUGCAAAUUUCCCCAAAUUGGAGCCUCCUGAUCUUCAUCACUACUUCAAGCACCUCCUAGCCUCCGAGCUGCUUUUUCGACAGCAAACUGCAAAUAAGGCUCUCUCGCACACAUGAUAAAAAGCACCAAAGUGAGUCAGUGUUGGAUGUGAUGAGGAUGAAGAUGAGGGGGCGGGCACUGCUGCUCAGAUUACUCAUUAAGGGAGACCAUCAUGACGAGGAGGAGGAAGAUGAUGAGAACAAACAAGAUGAAGAUGAUGACCCCAACUGUCCGUGCGGCACUCGGUUGACCUCAGCUGACCUCUGGCGCUUCAAUGUCAUUGGCUGAUGUGGACACUCCCCAACAUUGGAACUCUGACCUUGCCGGCGGGCCUUCUGUGUUUGUUUUUUUGUUUUCAUUUUGAAACGUGAUAAUUGAUGCAAAUGAGCUCGACAAAGAGACAUCAAAGGCAGUGGAAGAAGCCUGUUUGGACAAGAUAAAAGCAGAAAACACCAGCCGUCGUCAUUGGAAGGAGCUGCUUGGAACACAGGACAAACCCCAGGUCUUGCGUCUGCACUCCGGUGGAUCCCCCCUUUCAGCACAGCUGCUCGCUUUUAUGAGAGUCUUCUGCGUGACUGAGGGCAAGACCUACAGCGUACAGUAACAUCUUGACAACGGAGUAUCCACUACCAACUACUCACGACAUUCAGCGAACAUGACGGGAGCCGGUAAAGGAAAGAAGUGU